GCACAAGCGGUGGAGCAUGUGGUUUAAUUCGACGCAACGCGCAGAACCUUACCAGCCCUUGACAUGUCCAGGACCGGCACCAGAGAUGGAGCCUUCUCUUCGGAGCCUGGAGCACAGGUGCUGCAUGGCUGUCGUCAGCUCGUGUCGUGAGAUGUUGGGUUAAGUCCCGCAACGAGCGCAACCCCCGUCUUUAGUUGCUACCAUUUAGUUGAGCACUCUAAAGAGACUGCCGGUGAUAAGCCGCGAGGAAGGUGGGGAUGACGUCAAGUCCUCAUGGCCCUUACGGGCUGGGCUACACACGUGCUACAAUGGCGGUGACAAUGGGAUGCUAAGGGGCGACCCCUCGCAAAUCUCAAGAAGCCGUCUCAGUUCGGAUUGGGCUCUGCAACUCGAGCCCAUGAAGUUGGAAUCGCUAGUAAUCGUGGAUCAGCAUGCCACGCUGAAUACGUUCCCGGGC
rnacentral:rRNA from 1 species